AAUGAACGCUGGCGGCGUGCGUAACACAUGCAAGUCGAACGAGAAAUUCCGGGCUUGCUCGGGAGAGUAAAGUGGCGAACGGGUGAGUAACGCGUGGAUAACCUGCCCCUGAAUCUGGAAUAACUUCGCGAAAGCGAGGCUAAUACCGGAUAUGGUCCCAGGGACUGUGGUCCUUGUGAUGAAAGAUGACCUCUUCACGAAAGUUGUCGUUCAGGGAGGGGCCCGCGUACCAUUAGCUAGUUGGUAGGGUAAUGGCUUACCAAGGCGAUGAUGGUUAGCUGGUCUGAGAGGAUGACCAGCCACACUGGCACUGAAACACGGGCCAGACUCCUACGGGAGGCAGCAGUGAGGAAUUUUGCGCAAUAGGGGAAACCCUGACGCAGCAACGCCGCGUGAGUGAAGAAGGCCUUCGGGUCGUAAAGCUCUGUCAAGUGGGAAAAGAGCUUCUUGGUGAAUAGCCAGGAAGACUGAUGGUACCAUUGAAGGAAGCACCGGCUAACUCCGUGCCAGCCGCCGCGGUAAAAC
rnacentral:rRNA from 1 species